GACGAACGCUGGCGGCGUGCUUAACACAUGCCAGUCGAACGGAAAGGCCUGCUUUCCCUUGUGGAUUGCGGGUACUCGAGUGGCGAACGGGUGAGUAACACGUGAGUGAUCUGCCCCCAACUUGGGUAUAAGCCUGGGAAACUGGGUCUAAUUCCCGAUAGGACUGCAGGGUGGUGCCUGUGGUGGAAAACGAUUUUCUAGUGGUUGGGGAUGAGCUCGCGGCCUAUCAGCUUGUUGGUGGGGUAAUGGCCUACCAAGGCGGCGACGGGUAGCCGGCCUGGGAGGGUGGACGGCAACAUUGGGACUGAGAUACGGCCCAGACUCCUACGGGAGGCAGCAGUGGGGAAUAUUGCACAAUGGGCGGAAGCCUGAUGCAGCGACGCCGAGUGGGGGAUGACGGCCUUCGGGUUGUAAACUCCUUUCGACCGCGAGGAAGCCACCUGGUUGGAAGGGUGGUGACGGUAGUGGUAGAAGAAGCACCGGCUAACUACGUG
rnacentral:rRNA from 1 species